rnacentral:Y_RNA from 1 species
GGCUGGUCCAAUUGUAGUGGGUUACCAGACUUAGUAACAUUAAUAUCACUAAAGUUAGUAUACAGCCCCCCAAUGCUAAAUUAGACUGGCUGUAA